GGACGGUCACUCCACACUAUGAGCGUUCGUACAUAAAAGAAGGAGGAUUAUUACCGUUAGCUUGCGGUGCGGCAGCGUGGAGACCUGUCGUAAUGCGGUGCAUCUUAUCAAAGGGAUGCCGCGAGGCAGUAUGGAGGAGUCCUUACUGUCAGAGCAUGGUUAAAUGUC
rnacentral:ncRNA from 1 species